GGGGGACCUAACUCUCUGUCCAGGCACUCAGUGCCCGACCUGCAAGUGGGGACGGAAUUCUCGUCCAGGACAGUCAGGCUAAGAAAUUCAAAUGCUUUGGACAGACUCACCGACUGCCCGGCUGAGAGAAUCUGUGAGGUCUACCUGCCUAGCAAUUUGCCUUUGCACGGUCCUCCUGUGAGGAGUGAGGACACACAGUUCCACAGGACCAGAGACAAC
rnacentral:lncRNA from 10 species